rnacentral:rRNA from 1 species
UACGGAGGGUGCGAGCGUUGUUCGGAAUCACUGGGCGUAAAGCGCGUGUAGGCGGCCCACUAAGUCUGAUGUGAAAGCCCGGGGGCUCACCCCCCGGAAGUGCAUUGGAAACUGGUGGACUCGAGUCCCGGAGAGGAGAGUGGAAUUCCUGGUGUGAGCGGUGAAAUGCGUAGAUAUCUGGAGGAACACCGGUGGCGAAG